GGGGUCGGAAGCGGGACGGGGUUCCACACGUCUGUGUUCCGGGUUCCACGCUCGGCUCGUGAACUCUUCGGCUCCUUCCCCGGAGCCUGGGCCCGCCGGAGGACGUGUGACUUUCCGGGUACAGCCACUAGCUGGGAGGACAGGAGAGAAACGGGUGAGAAGUGGGAUCUUGAGGGUAGGUUCUGCGAACGAAUCUCCGGGACCCCUUAGAGGUUCAGAGACUCCGCCAAAGUCAAGACAGCUGGGUACCCAAAGCAGCAGGAAGAAAUAAUCUACUCCCUUGAUUAAUACGGUGAUAAUUGCCCCUGGGGAGUGGAAGGUCGAACACAUGAGCGGAUUGUUGGCACCUGUCAGUGACUGUGGCGAACGAACGCCCGGGGGACCUGAGGUCUGAGAAAGACCCCACCUUGAUCCUGAUUCCGUGCAUGCGAGGAGGAACUGCAAGCCGCUUCAAGAGGCCAUCCUAGAAAACAAGCUUGAGGCUCUUCUUGCAAGAGCAUGCAUCUCAGGCCAGGAGCAAAUUCUUCAAGCUUCAGGCAAAGCAGCCUCUGGGUGCACAGCUGUGCUCCCCUCAGAUGGGAGAGGAUAAACAGGAAAAACCAAGGUAACCGCCUAGAAGCAGAACUGCAGUUUUCGUGCCUCCGACCUGACUCAGUCUUGCCCAGCUGCUCUUCAAAAUCACUAGAAGGCUCCUGACUGACAUCAAAAGAGGUCAGACUUCUGUUAGGAGUUGGGUAGGCACUACCUGUCUUCCUCGGUAGCCCGGGAGCAGAGAGGGUGCUUGCCCUGCAUGCUCUCUGUCUGAGGUUUGAUCCCAGCUCUACAAUUAAGUUCAACACUGAAAUGGACGGCCUCGUGAAUGGCCGCCUCAGGAAUGGCCUCCUCGGGAGAGUCGUAUGCCUCUCAGACGUUACAGUCUGUCACAACUCUUCAGUGCUCUCCAUUGCAGCUCAGACACUACCAUGAGUAACGUGUGAACAAGUGGGUGGGUAUUCCAAUAAAACUUUAUUUAUAAAAACAA